rnacentral:rRNA from 1 species
UACGAAGGGGGCUAGCGUUGCUCGGAAUUACUGGGCGUAAAGCGCACGUAGGCGGUCUGCUAAGUUGGAUGUGAAAACUCUGGGCUUAACCCAGAGCCUGCAUUCAAAACUGACAGGCUAGAGUUCUGGAGGGGGAAGCGGAAUUCCUGGUGUAGCGGUGAAAUGCGUAGAUAUCAGGAGGAACACCAGUGGCGAAGGCGGCUGACUGGUCCGGUUCUGACGCUGAGGCGCGAAAGCGUGGGGAGCAAACAGG